rnacentral:rRNA from 1 species
AUACGGAGGAUGCAAGCGUUAUCCGGAUUUAUUGGGUUUAAAGGGUGCGUAGGCGGUUUGCUAAGCGGGAGGUGAAAUGCCGGCGCUCAACGUCGGAAGUGCCUCCCGAACUGGUGGACUGGAAUGACUCUGCCGUGGGAGGAAUGUGUAGUGUAGCGGUGAAAUGCUUAGAGAUUACACAGAACACCGAUUGCGAAGGCAUCUCACGAAGGGUUGAUUGACGCUGAGGCACGAAAGCGUGGGGAUCAAACAGGAUUAGAUACCCUGGUAGUCCACGCAGUAAACGAUGAUGGCUAACCGCUGGUUUAUUCGGAUCAGUGGCCAAGCGAAAGCGAUAAGCCAUCCACCUGGGGAGUACGACCGCAAGGUUGAAACUCAAAGGAAUUGACGG